UAGAUAAAGAGUCUUUUAUUCAGAUUUAGAAUUCUGUAUUGUUUUCACUUUUAGAAUGUUGUAGUCAAUACAGUGUUUUAUUAGAUGAAAGUGUUACAUUCAGGUUAGAAUACUGUAUUUAAUUCAGUAUUAGAUAUUGUACCUGAUUGAUACCAUAUUGUAUUAGAUAAAAGUAUAGUAUUCCAAUUUAGAAUACCGUAUUCUAUUCAGGUUUAGAAUAUGGUACUCAGAUUUAAAUUAAAGUAUUGAUUCAGAUUUUCUGAAGUUGAUAACUACUCAGGUUAUGUAACAAGAUGUCCUUAUUCUUAGGAAAUACACACAGUAUUAAGAUAUAAAGAGGCAGAUACAGCGACUAUGGAAAACAGCAUGGAAGUUCCUCAAAAAGUUAAAAAUAGAACUACCAUCUGAUCCAGCAACCCCACUUCUGGGCAUCCAUCUGCAGGAGGUGAAAUCACUGUCUUGAGGAGACAUCUGCACCCCACGUUCACUGCAGCAUUAUUCACAACAGCCAAGACAGGGAGACGACCUAAGCGUCCACAGCAGAUGAAUGGAUGAAGAAAAGGUGACGUACACACGUGCGUGCACGUGUACACACACAUACACAGGAAUAUUAUUCACUCAUAAAAGGAGGAGAAAAUCCUGCCAUUUGCAACCACCUGGAUGGACCUUGAGCGCAUUAUGCUGAGUUAAAUAAGCCAGACAGAGAAAAACAAAUGCUGUAUGAUCUCACUUACCUGUGGAAUCUGAAAACAUCACACUCACAGAAACGGAGAGCAGAUGGUGGUUGCCAGGGGCUGAGGGGUGGGGGAGAUGGGGAGAUGUUGGUCAAAGGGGACAAACUUUUAGCUAUAAGAGGAGUAAGUUAUUGGGAUCCAAGGUACAGCACGGUGACUCCAGUUACCAAUACCGUGCUGUAACACUUGAAAGUUGCUAUGAGAACAGAGCUUUAAUAUUCUCACCACAACAACAACAACAAAAUGGUAAUUCCGUGAGGUGAAGGAUGUGUUAACUAACCUUAUUGUGGUAACAUUUCAAGACAUAUACGUUUAUCAAAUCACCACUUUGUACACCUUAAACGUACACAGUGGUUUAUGUCUCAAUAAGGCUGGGAAAAAAAGAUAAAGGAGCAGAUUAUGUAAGCAACUUCCUUGCAAAUGGUUCAGAAAAAUAUAGAAAUAUAUAAAAUAUAUUUAUAAAAUUAUAAAAUAUAUAGAAAUGUAUAAUGUGUAGAUAGACAUAAAGAAACGAGGUGCUCUGGCUUGAUGAACCUAGCUGAAAAAAUUGCAAACAAAAUAAAAUGAUUGUUUCAAGCCACAAAUUUGGGAUAACCAAAGCAUCUUCUAAACUCAAAUAUCUACAAGCUUUAUAGUUUUGCCUUUCACAUUUAUGUCUGAUCCACCCAGAAGUGUUUUCCUGUAAAGUGUGAAGUCAAGGUUCAAUGUCAAUUUCCCCCAUAUACACAGGUAAUUGUCCCAAUAACAUCAAAAAGUCAACCCUUUCCUUGGUGGCCAACCUCUGUACCCACACGUGUGUGGGAUUCCUGCUCUUUAUUCUGAUGCACUGAUCUGUCUGCCUCCUCCAAGCCAAAACUAUACAGAUGUAAUCAUCACAGCUUUAUCAAAGUAUCGAUAUGUGGUACAGCAGGCCCUCCACCUUGAUCUUCGAGGGUGUUUUAGCUUUCCUGACUCUGAGUCUUAUAAAUGUGAGAAUCAGCUUAGCAAGUUGGCUUAAUUUCUCUGCAGCCCAGUUUCUCAUCUGCUGGAAGAAUUGAAAAAGACAAUAAAUAUGGACACAAUUUGUAGAGUCCCGGGAACAACAGAGUUUUAGUUUAUUGUAUUUAUAUUGCUAAACCUAAGCAAACAAUGUUGAUCUCCAUAGCCUGUUUUUCUGUCAGUUCUGAAACAUCUCCUGAAUUCGCAAGUGUUUUCCAGGACUGACGGCCGGCUCCUGUUACUGACAGCUGGAUGUGCGACCCUGGUUCAUAUUAGGACUCCUCCCAAAUUGGCCUUGCUAAAACUGUAAUUUUUUUUAAUCUCCUUUUGAACUUUUACAGCCACAUUUCAGCUGGCCAACAGUUUUGAAAGCUGGAAAUAAUUCAGUCCUGCUGUCAGUCUGUGGUCAGAUUCCAGUUUGACCUGUUGCAUGAUUUGAGCAAGGAUUUAAUAGGACCACGUGGAAAACGCCUGGUCCUUUCCUCUUUAUCAAAUUGGCCCUUGUGAGAACCAGACCGGAGACGCAGGCAAAGCAUGGACUCUUCAUCAUAAAAAGUUUUCACACCGUACCUUCAAAAGAGUUUUUAUCCUCUGUGAACCUAACCCUAAGUUGAGAGAGAGGCAUCACUGCUUCAUUAAUACGAAUAAUAGCUGUUUUACUUUUACAUACUAAUUUUACAAAACUUAGAAAAUAUUUUUAAAAAGUAUUCAUUUAUCCAUGAUCCAAAGCUAAAUGCUACGAACAUUUUAAAGGAUUGUCAUCUGCUUUCUUGUCUUUACGCACAGGUUUCUUUUUUUCUCUUUUAAUGUAACACGCGCUAGUCUGCAUCCUGCCCGUGGCCGGCCUCUUGCUUGGCUCGUCAGCAAUCGCUCGCCUUCUUCCCUUAAAGGAGCCCAAUUAGAUUUAGAUUUAGGGCAACUCUUGGAGGAGGCGGGACCACAGCACGACGCCAGAAGUGAAUUUUGAUUGGUCUAAGCCAAACAAAGAACGCUGGCCCCUUGCCUGGUGAUUGGUUUAGGCCUGAGCGUGACAAGCAGUGCUGAUCAAUGAGGAGGGAGAGGCGGUCUGCGGGGGCGUCCUGCGCCCUUGCAAGGACGAGCUUGAGGCGGAAAGGCUGAAAAUGGCAGACGGGAAGGACGGAAGCUUCCCGGGUUCCCGGUGAUGAGCCUGCGCCGCUGACAGACCCCGUGUUCACAUUCAAGUCAUACGAGACAGUGAACGGUUCUCCUGCAUGGGCACAGCUUGUUGAGCUCCUGGGACGGAGCGCCCCCGGCUGACACACCUGCCCCGCUUAGGGGGGUGUCUGCUGUGUUCCUGGAGCUCUUCUUAAACGUUGUUUACAGAGAGCGUUCCAGCCAGUUGUUAUUCCAAGAUUCACUUGGUGGAUCCCAGAUUGUUUAAUAAUGAUGAUAGGGUUUUUCACUCAACAAUAUUUCAGGAACAUCAUUCCACAUAAAUAAAUAUGCUUUGUUGUUAU